rnacentral:piRNA from 1 species
AACUUUUUACUUGAAUCAAAUUUGGGGAAG